CGCCUCAGCGAGCGGGCGGCGGCCGGCCGGGGAGACUCACCGAGGCGCAGGGGCUGGAGGUGGCGCUGGGGUGAAACAGAAAUCACUGGGCAGUGUGGACCAGUCCCUAAGAAUGACAUAGCGUUGAUCUGCUUUUGCAUGUAUCACAGUGAA